rnacentral:rRNA from 1 species
GAUGAACGCUGGCGGCGUGCUUAACACAUGCAAGUCGAACGAAAUGUCCCUGCUUUUUUUGGGUACUCGAAUGGCGAACGGGUACGUAUCACGACAGUAACCAGCCCUGGACACAGGGCUAACUUCAGGAAACUGGUGCCAAUUCCGGAUAGGAGUUGCUGCUGCGUGGGGGGGGAUGGAACGUUUGGGCGGUUGGGGGUGGUCUCGCGGCUUAGCAGGUUGUUGGUGGGGUGGUGGCUUACCAAGGGUUCGACGGGUAGCCGGCCUGGGAGGGUGACCGGCCACCUUGGGACUGAGGUACGGCCCAGACUCCUACGGGAGGCAGCAGUGGGGAAUAUUGCACAAUGGGGGGAAGCCUGAUGCAGCAACGCCGCGUGGGGGAUAAAGGCUUUCGGGUUGUAAAACGCUUUUGCCUGUGACGAAGCGUGAGUGACGGUAAUGGGUAAAGAAGCACCGGCUAACUACGUG